AUUGAACGCUGGCGGCAGGCCUAACACAUGCAAGUCGAACGAGUGGCGGACGGGUGAGUAAUGUCUGGGACACUGCCCGAUGGAGGGGGAUAACUACUGGAACCGGUAGCUAAUACCGCCUACCAUCGGAUGUGCCCAGAUGGGAUUAGCUAGUAGGUGGGGUAACGGCUCACCUAGGCGACGAUCCCUAGCUGGUCUGACAGGAUGACCAGCAACACGGGAACUGAGACACGGGCCAGACGCCUACGGGAGGCAGCAGUGGGGAAUAUUGGAAAAUGGGGGCAAGCCUGAUGAAGCCAUGCCGCGUGUAUGAAGAAGGCCUUCGGGUUGUAAAGUACUUUCAGCGAGGAGGCGUUACUCGCAGAGGAAGCACCGGCUAACUCCGUGCCAGCAGCCGCGGUAAUAC
rnacentral:rRNA from 1 species